rnacentral:lncRNA from 1 species
UGCGUUCGUUUCAGUUUCCCGGGGGGGAUUUUUUGGGGGGAGCGAGAGAGAGGAGAAUAAAUUCGCGAGUAGGGAAAGGUCACCUCGUAGCACGAAUCAAGACCAAAUGGGGGAAAACGUUUCUUUUUCUUUAAAAACAAAUACAAAUAAUAAUCAUAAUAAUAAUAAAAAAAAAGUGGACCAGCAGCUAAGACUGGGGUAGGUUCCCGAGGUAGGAGCUGGAGGACAGCGAGCGCGUCGCGCGUCGGUCAGCCCUCGCGCCAGUGAGCGGAGCGAUGCUCGCAGGCUCCCGAAUCCGAAACUCCUUGGCUGGUACAUUUCCUAAAUGCACAACGUGUUAAUUUCCUCGCUGAGCAUCAAGCGAAAAAGAGAAAAAAAAAAAAAAAAAAAAAAAAAAAGAAAAAAAGAAAAAAGAAAAAGAAAGGAAAAAAAAAAAAAAAAAAAGGAACGAAAGCAAAAGAACAAAACGCCACAACGCAAAGUCCUUGCGGGGGCGCCGGGGGCUUCGCCCCGCGCCCCCCUCCCGGCCGGGCCCCCCCGGGGUUUCGGGGACCCGGGGCCGGGGCCCCUCGGAGGCGGCGGGGCCGGGCGGGGGGCGCAGCCCCGGGGUGGGGGGCUCGCAGGGGGCAGCGCCCGCCCGGGUCUCGCCCUCCGAGCGCCGCCGCCCCGGGAUCAGCGCCCUAUUUCUACCCCCCCCCCCCCCCCCCCCGUUGUAUUUUUCUUGCUCCCCGUUAUUUUUAUUUUAUCGCUUGGAAGCAGCCUCCUGGCGUCCCAGCGCCGCCGGGGUCGGCAACCCCCGGCUCCGCUCCGCGCAUCCAGCGGGGCCGCGGACGGCUCCGGGAGGGUUUUGGGGGAUUUUGGGGGGGUUUGGCCGGCGGCGGGGCGCUCUCGGGGCCGCCCCGUCGGGGCCCCGGCCGCGACCCUGCCCCGCUGCGUUUCCCUCCCCCCCGCCCUGCUUUAGCGUUUCAAAAAACACCAGAGGCGCAAAAGAAAAAAAAUCUGUAUUUUUUUUAAAACGGUUUUUUAUUUUUAUUUUUUUUUUGAUGGGGAAAAUAACGCUUGUUCCCUGGACGUUAUUAACGGUGCGGUCUGAAAUAUACAUUUUUUGCCGUAAAGAAAAGGGAAUCAUUAUCGAGCCAUUACGCAUUAAGAAAUGUCAUUCAGUCAUUUUUAUUCAUUCGGCUGAAAUCUUCGUAAAAGCCAGAAUCAUACUUCUGCAAGCAGCAAUUUUGUUAAUCCAGGGGGUUAUUACUCUGGUCCCUUAUUAGGAUCUAUACUGCUGCCAAGCAAUCCUAUAACCUUCUCAAAAGAAGUUUACCUCCGUGUUAUAAAACCAGUAGUGGUAUUUAUACUGUGCAAUAAUUAGUGUAUUACUUGAAUCCACUAACAGGUUCAUUUUAUCUCUGCACAAAACCCCUAGUCUGCUUAUAGAAAGCUUGUGCCUCCUUUGGCGCUGUUAAAGUGGUGAAAGAGUGAAUGAAGGCUGGUAGCACUUUCUCCUUUUGCCUUGCCUUAAUUCCCAUCUCUUUUUGCUCUCAUCCAAUUAGUGCAGUGUAUUAAGCGGUUUAUCAUCUCAUAGUCAGCUAUUGAGAGAAACAAGGCGAACACUUUGCAAUAGAGCCUGCUCUCCUUUGACACCCUCAGGUACUUACAUAUUCCACUGUGCUAUGAAUAAUAGAGGAAGAAUAGAGCGCUAAUUCCCUCAUCAAAGAAUGCCUUGUCUGCUGCUUUGCUCAACAACACCAUUCUGAUCAAAAGAAAAGCAAUAAAGCUUAGCAUAACAAAACGAAACCUACUUAU